AAAUAUUUCUAGUCCCAAGAGGAGGUUCCUAACCUGUCUAUUCUGCCCGACAACAAGCACCGUUUCAUUGGUCCUCUAGGUGUUUGUCAAUCAAGCAGUAGCGGAGGAGGAGGAAGAAGAAGAAGAGGACACACACCUUUGAUGGAAGAGGAUGACAACGAGGAUGGAGUGUCUGUGCCUUGAGGGAGGUCGCCAAAGUGGAGUCAGCCACCCACAUCACCGCCAGGGCUUGAGAGCCAUGCUAUCUUUUCACCACGGCGAAACAUUUCUACUUAAGUAGCUCAUCGCUGCUCUCAUUUCCACGGGUAGGACAUUCCAGCAUGCCGGAGCCCAAAAAGAGCAUGCUCGGGAACCUGCAGACUUGGUCGCUAAAUGACCCACGUGUUGCGAAUGUGGCUUUCGGGAUGGAAGAUAUGGCACCACGAAGUCAGCAAGAAACAAAAUCUUUACAUGGCAUCUCAAGUGCGCCGGGAGCCAAUGCAAGUUCUACGUUGCUAUGCUUGGCAAUCUAAACUCCAAAGCAGAAGAUACAAGCUGUGUUUUGCGCUGCUAGCGGGCCUAUUUUCAUACUUAUCAUCAGAAAAAGAAUCGCGCUUCAUUGUUGUAGCGAGAGCAUCACAGUAAUCAACAAAUGUAUCCAGUGUAGAAAUAACUAUCUAUUCCCUAUGGCCGCCUGCUUGGCAAUGUUUUGCAUUUGUUAACAAUGCUGAUGCUAGCGCAAGUCAGGUCGCAUUCCCGUCAACAAGUUGUUGCCCUUGUUUGUGCACUGUCACUCAUUCAAAGUGAUGGAUUGCGUUUGUAUGAACUGAAUUGCAUCAUGACUCACUCCUUUGUUCAUCUGUAACGUGUCAAAUAAAGUUUUGCGACUCUAAACAUUGGAAA